AGAACAUCUUUUACUUAUAAUUUCAUUCAUUUUAUAGGUCUGAAUACUGUUAACACUUUAUCCUACGAUUAUACUGCUUCCAUCGAGUGUUUGGCAAGUCCUCAAAGACCUCAAUAUAAUGGAGGAGUCAUUCGAAACCCAGAGCUGAAUGAAGGGUUGAAGGGAUGGUCUACGUUUGGAGAUGCUAAAAUAGAGCACAGGAAAUUGGGAAACAACAACUUCAUUGUAGCUAAUUCCAGAGUUCACUCCUACGAUAGUGUCUCACAGAAUCUUUACCUGCAAAAGAACAAAAUCUACACUUUCUCUGCCUGGAUUCAAGUGAGUAAGGGAAGAAUUCCAGUAUCAGCUGUUUUCAAGACUCAAACAGGGUACGUACAUGCUGGUGCUAUUUUUGCCGAGUCCAAUUGCUGGUCCAUGCUUAAAGGUGGCCUCACUGUUGAUGCCUCAGGCCCUGCUCAACUUUAUUUCGAGAGUAACAACACAUUGAUUGACAUAUGGGUGGAUAGCAUCUCAUUACAACCCUUCACCAAAAAGCAAUGGAUGUCUCAUCAAGAUCAAGCCAUUGAAAAGACCCGAAAGACUAAGGUAAGGAUCCAGGCAGUGGAUAGUCAAGGAAAACCCUUAUCUAAUGCUAAUAUCUCAAUAAAACUAAAGAAAGCAAGUUUCCCAUUUGGCUGUGCUAUAAACAAAAAUAUCCUCUACAACAACGCCUAUCAAAAAUGGUUCACUUCCAGGUUCACAGUGACAGUAUUUGAGGAUGAAAUGAAGUGGUAUAGCACAGAACCCUCGCAGGGCAAAGUGGACUACUCAGUCCCUGACGCCAUGCUUCAGUUCGCCAAGAAGAACAAUGUACUAGUCCGAGGCCACAAUGUGUUCUGGGAUGAUCCCAAGUAUCAGCAAGGAUGGAUCAAUUCACUCUCUCCUACCGAUCUUUCCAAGGCCACCACUGAUAGGAUCAACUCUAUCAUGUCAAGGUACAGAGGGCAAGUCAUUGGCUGGGAUGUUGUUAAUGAAAACCUGCACUUCAAUUUCUUUGAGAGCAAAUUAGGGCAAAAUGCUUCUGCAGUUUUCUAUAACUUGGCUCAGAAGAUUGAUGGAACUUCGACUUUGUUCUUGAACGACUAUAACACCAUUGAAGAUGGUAGAGAUGACGAUUCUACACCGGCUAAGUACCUGCAAAAGCUGAGAGAUAUUAAGGCAUUUCCUGGUAAUGGAAAUCUUAAAUUGGGGAUUGGACUUGAAUCCCAUUUCAGUAGUGCCGCUCCAAACCUUGCUUAUAUGAGGGCUUCCAUUGAUACACUUGCUGCUACCAAUUUCCCCAUUUGGCUCACAGAAGUAGAUGUUCAAAGCGGCCCCUAUCAGGCACAAUACUUGGAGCAGAUUCUAAGGGAGGGACACAGUCACCCGAAGGUGGCAGGAAUUGUGAUCUGGUCGGCCUGGAAACCGCAGGGAUGCUACAGGAUGUGUCUGACAGAUAACAAUUUCAAGAACUUGCCCACUGGUGAUGUAGUUGACAAGCUGUUGGCUCGGCAGAUUGCUGUCAAGUCCUUGGCUGGCAGGACGGAUGGAAAUGGCUUCUUUGAGGCGUCCCUUUCCCAUGGAAUUUACAGCGUGAAAAUUCAUCACCCUUCUGCAAAAAAAUUUUCUUUGUUUCAAAAGCUUAAUGUGGUCUCAAGCACUGGUGCAGCUAAUCCAACAUUGCUUAUGCGAUUUGCCACCUGAGUCUUUUCUUUGAUAGGUUGAGUCUAACGAUUUAUGAUUAUUUAAUUAAAUCAUGAAAUCUGAUUUUUUUACAAAAACAUGUCUAUAUAGUUACUUAUAAAAUCGUGAUAGGAGCUUUGCCUUUAGCUGGAUCUCUGAGUAGAGAUUUAUCAGAUGAUGAGUUAGUUGGUUCUGGGUGAAAACGUCGUGGCUGAAAUGUACGAAGA
rnacentral:misc_RNA from 1 species